ensembl:lncRNA
AUGUCUUUAAAAAAAAAAAGAGAGAAAAGAAACGUAAAUGCACAUAUUUCUCAGCUCAGUUGUACCUUGGUGUGCCUAGAACCCACAGCCUUAUUUUGGGACAAUAUCAGGGGUUUUAACCAGAAUACACGAUGUUCUGUAGAGGACAGUUUCAUUGAGUUUUUUCCCCCCACAUUUCUAUUACUGUUGGUUCUUUUUUUGCAGUUGUUGAGUCUAAAUAUCAUCAAGGGUGUUGGUUUAACUGCUGGAUACAGUCAAAGGCUUUAUAAGGAUUCUGUGGAGUCAAACUAAGUACACCACAUGAUUAAGUAGCUUAGAAUCACCUUUAGCAGUAAUAACUUGAAGUAACUUUAUCAGUGGUGUUUUGGCACGCUAUUAUUUACAAGGUUGCUUCAGGUCAUUGAGCUUUGUGGGAUUCAUUUAUGUGCAACCUCUUUAGGUCCCACCUCAGUAUUUCUAUCACAUUGAGGUCUGGACUGUGACUGGGCCCAUGCAGCACCUGGAUUCUUUUCUUUUUCAGUCAUGCUGUUGUAGUUUUGCUGCUGUAAUCCUGAUUUUUGUCUUGUUGCAUGAUCAUGGUCCAGUUUGGCCCCAACUUUAGCUGUUGGCAGAUGGUCUCACAUCUGACUCUAGAACUACGUGGUUGACUCGGUGACUGCAAGGUACCAAGAGCUUGUGGCUAGAAAACAAACCCAAAUCAUCACCCCUCCACCACCGUGCUGGACUCAGUAUGAGGUGUCUGUGCAGUGCAUUAUAGCUAAACAUCUCCAAUUUUCUCCCAUUUGUAAAAUGACAUUGUUUCUGAACUCUCAAGUUCUCCUGGCAACCCUUUCAAACCCUUUUCAAACUAGUCAUACUAGCUGAGAACGAACAAAUUUGCUGGGGCAUCCAUUCCUAGGGAGAGUUUAGCACUGAGUUAACACACAAACCCAAGGACUCCAGAUCAGCAAAGUGCAAUAAUGUCUACUUUUGCUUUUGCUGAUCAUCAAUUAAUCAGCAUCCUCAGAAUUUGUGUGGAAGCAGUAAGGAUGUGUUUAAUUCUUCCCAGGAUUGCAUAAAGUGCUGUGAAAGCUUUUCUUUCACAUGACUGUAUAUUAUUUUGGAGUACAUCUGAAGUGAACUGUUAGUGAUAUGGUUAUGAAUGACGAGUUAGUGAUAUUAAUUAAGUAUAGCCGGUAAAAAUUGUGACCAGAAAUUUAAGUGGAAACAGAAAGGGGAUGCGGUUAUCAGAGUUUUUGUUGCAUCAGCAAAUGGUAGUAUGACGCAAAGUGGAGAUAUGUGGUCAACUAAGGAAGAAGUUCAAAUUGUAGUUCAUAUGUGAAAACACCAGAUAAGGAUGCAAAAGCAGCUAAUCUGACUAUGUCCAUAGGUUAAAAAAAAAGAAAGAAAAAAAAAAAGAAAGUUUAAGCCACAGAAGCAUGCAGCUUUAUGUCCACGUCAGCGCUGACCACAGCUCAGUCAUCACCAUCACUCAGCUGGUCACUUGGGAGUGGCUGGGUCUCAGUAGUCUGCUGUCACUGUGACUAAUAAGAAGCAUCUGCAGAUCCAUAAAUAUAAACAGACACACAGACUAUUUUAUACUGCACAAAGAUUGACUGGUGCACAAAAAACUCCUAAUAGUAGGGGUUACACAGUACACCCACAUAUGUGUGCAGGAAAAAAUCAUAUCCAGAAUGCAGCUGAGAUUUUGUUUGAUAUACAAAGUAGCUGUGUGAAGACUCCAGUAGUUAUUGGACCCAGAAACCAGGAGAAUAGUGAAUCACAUAAGCUGGAUUGAAUUGAGAGUUAGAGCAACCCACAAAAAGCUUUAAUAUUUGUAACUUUAUUAUAUUGAUAGCACGAUUGGCCAGGCCAGGCCAGAGAAAAGAAAAAAAAAAAUCAGCUUUUGCAUCAGAUAUUUGGGGAACAUAUAUCUAAAAUGUAGAACAUGAACAUUAGAUCCGUUACAGUUAUGUAAUUAAUUUGUAUCCCUUUAUUUUCACAGUGAAGGAAGAGUCACUUUGUUCAACAUGUGGCUGUGUGAUGGAGAAGGCAAGCUAAUUAUAAUAUAAACACUGCAAACAGUGGCUAAUAGCUAGCUUGGCUUUCUCCAAAGGUUAGAACCAAAAACUCACUCUGUAAGACUGAAGUAAAGAACAUAUAGUGUGUUAAAUUUUGAGUGUAGCCAGGUUAGCUUUUGCUACUUUUCACAGUGUUUAUGCUAAGCUAACUGAGCUGACCCUUUUAACUGGACAGAUGUCAGAGUGAUAUUGUUCUUCUGUUCAGUUUUCUGGUGAUUACACAUUAGUCAUUACUUUGAAAGAGAGAUAUUGUGUGUGUGUGUGUGUGUGUGUGUGUGUGUGUGUAUUGCACAAGUAGUAGAAAAAGUGCUUUUUCAGCUGGUUAAUACCAUUUCGGUUAGCAUUGUUGCUGGGAGCUAUAACAAGGUAAAUUUUGUCACCUUGUCAUGACUUGCUGGGUUUUUCCU